rnacentral:rRNA from 1 species
UACGUAGGGUGCGAGCGUUAAUCGGAAUUACUGGGCGUAAAGCGUGCGCAGGCGGUUCGUUGUGUCGGCGGUGAAAGCCCCGGGCUCAACCUGGGAAUGGCGAUGGAUACUGGCUCGCUAGAGUGCGGUAGAGGAGAGUGGAAUUCCUGGUGUAGCGGUGGAAUGCGCAGAUAUCAGGAGGAACACCAAUAGCGAAGGCAGCUCGCUGGGACGUUACUGACACUGAGGCGCGAAAGCGUGGGGAGCGAACAGG